AUUCCAGCUCCAAUAGCGUAUAUUAAAGUUGUUGCAGUUAAAAAGCUCGUAGUUGAAUUUUUGCUUGCCCCCGAUGUCCGUUAUUUCGGUACGUUCGGGGGCGUGCAUCCUUGGGUGGAACCUGUGUGGCAUUAGGUCGUCGUGCAGGGGAUGCUCAUCGUUUACUGUGAAAAAAUUAGAGUGUUCAAAGCAGGCUUACGCCGUUGAAUAUAUUAGCAUGGAAUAAUAAGAUAGGACCUUGGUACUAUUUUGUUGGUUUGCGCACCGAGGUAAUGAUUAACAGGGACAGUUGGGGGUAUUCGUAUUCCAUUGUCGGAGGUGAAAUUCUUGGAUUUCUGGAAGACGAACUACUGCGAAAGCAUUUACCAAGGAUGUUUUCAUCG
rnacentral:rRNA from 1 species